rnacentral:rRNA from 1 species
ACGUAGGGGACAAGCGUUAUCCGGAUUUACUGGGCGUAAAGAGCCCGUAGGCGGUCGGCUAAGUUGGACGUGAAAGCUCCCGGCUUAACUGGGAGAGGUCGGACAAAACUGGCGGACUUGAGGCUGAGAGAGGCGAGCGGAAUUCCCGGUGUAGUGGUGGAAUGCGUAGAGAUCCGGAGGAACCCCGGUGGCGAAGGCGACUUGCUGGGCCUGAACUGACGCUCAGACGCGAAAGCAUGGGGAGCGAACGG